UGGGGAAUAUUGGACAAUGGGCGAAAGCCUGAUCCAGCCAUGCCGCGCGUGUGAAGAAGGUCUUCGGAUUGUAAAGCACUUUAAGUUGGGAGGAAGGGCAUUAACCUAAUACGUUAGUGUUUUGACGUUACCGACAGAAUAAGCACCGGCUAACUCUGUGCCAGCAGCCGCGGUAAUACAGAGGGUGCAAGCGUUAAUCGGAAUUACUGGGCGUAAAGCGCGCGUAGGUGGUUUGUUAAAUUGGAUGUGAAAUCCCCGGGCUCAACCUGGGAACUGCAUUCAAAACUGACUGACUAGAGUAUGGUAGAGGGUGGUGGAAUUUCCUGUGUAGCGGUGAAAUGCGUAGAUAUAGGAAGGAACACCAGUGGCGAAGGCGACCACCUGGACUAAUACUGACACUGAGGUGCGAAAGCGUGGGGAGCAAACA
rnacentral:rRNA from 1 species